AAAAUGGAUUCAAAGAAGUAAUAUAGUGCACACAUAAACGCAUUUCAUGCUCAAUGCUAGAAUUAAGAAGUCACGUGCUAUAAUUUCGACUUUUAAAACCUCUCUCCAAUGACUCAUGAAACUGUGUAACCGUUGCAGAAUACUAGUGCACCGUGUUCUUCCAGGGCGCAAUAGUCAACUAACUAUACAGCAAAAAUAGAGUUGCACAUUAGUAUCAUUUUUCUCAAAUUAUCUUAAGACAUGUUACAUCAGUCCUCAACUUUAUCCGCGUAUCGGCGCAAAUGGUAUCAAUAUAAAUUAGAGCUAGCCGAUUGUCUUUUAAUUAUGCCAUUCAUAUUGACUAAUGACUAUAUGAGAUUUGGUGAAACGAAUUUUCAUGUCGAUAGUAUACUAAUUUAGGAAAUAUUAGGUAAAAGUUAUGUGUCAGGAUGAAUUGUCUUCCCUAUCAUUAGUAUUCAAAAACACCAUUAUUGCUCAAAUUGAAGCUUCCGAAAAUAGAGCAGACAGGAAGUCUUUGGAAUUCUUUGUUAACUGCCGUCGAAAGGAAGCCAUUAUCAGAGAGCAUCUGGCCCGAUUCUGGCCUUUUUCCAGGCAGACAGUACUGCAUUCUUAGCCCAUCACUUGCUGGACCACGAUCCCAUCUCAGAACAUUGACCGGUCAUUUGCUCAACACGCAAAAAAUAAGCUAAUUUUAAAAUUUUUAACACUAUCAUACCACCAAGUCAAAUUGAUUUUUAAUUUCAUUUGACCAUUAUUUACAUGGGUUAUCAUAGUGAAAUUUGAUUCUUUAGCCAUUUACAAUAUGCAUAUAAAAUAUUAAUAGAUUUAAAAAAUUAAAAAUUUUUCUUAUAAAAAUGGUCAAAUUUCCAUAAUAUAAUACAUGAAAAUUGACCGAGUUUGACAUGAAAAUUUUCAAAUUUUCAAAUUGACUAAUAUUUAACAUGCAAGUUAGAAAUGACUAAAAAUUAAGAUUUAUAUGAAUACUAUAAAACUUAUAUAAACCCUCUUCCAACAACUCGAAUUAUUAUAAUACAACGGUUUUUUAUAUCAAAAUACACCAAAACCCAUCACUAAUUCAUCUGAUAAGUUUAUUUUCAUCUAUAUACUUGUUUAUAAUCCAAUCAAUACAAGUAUUUUUCAUACCAACUAUAUCCUGGAGGAGCAAAGACACGUGGAGAGCCCUCUGUUUUGUGAUCUCUGCCAAUCACACGUUACCAAGUAACAUUUCAGGCUACAGCACUGGAGCUAGCCAAUGACUUUGGCCAGCAAGAUUGGACUUUGACUGGUCAUUGGUCUGACCUCCCCCCGCCCAACCAAACCGGUCAGAAAUCCGAGCCAGAGCCUCAGAAUUACCAAGAAACCCACUACUUAACUUACCCACCCGUGGUCAAAAAGGAGAACGAAGACUGGCCCCACUUUUCACACGCAUUGGAAUCAUAUCGUGGAAAAGGGGGUUUUCUGGGCAAAGACUAGUGGAAAUAUGGGACGAAUGGAACAAACGAUAGGGUUAAAAGAGAAUAAACUAGAAAGUGACCGAAAGGUAAAAAAAUCAAUGUUGCUGUGUGAAUGGCUUUUUAUUUGCCCGGGGGGCAAGUAAAAAAGGUGGAGUCUGGUGAGAGCUGCGUUUCUGGCUUGAUGCUGCAGUCUGUGUGGUAGUCGUUUUCAAUGGGGUUUGGGACUUUGGAUUGGUAUGCUUUUGAAUAGACCCAGUGGGUGGAAACUUAUAUGAAAAGAACUUAUGAUCAUGAGUUUAUAAUAUGGACCAUGGCUACGUACGUGUACUUACUUGACCACCUUUGUUGCUGUGGUUACAGGUUCAAUGCAAUUUUUGACCGUCGAGAUUGCUUAGCUCCUCGAAUUUGAAUCGAUCGAUGGUUGCGUUCUGGAUAUGUGCAUGUGCUCGUUUAUCGGUCUUUUUGAAUGAGAAUGUGAGGGAAGAUCUCGAGACAUUGUUCAAGUUGAAGAAUGAAGCUAUAAGGAACACUAGAAGUAGCUCGCGCUAUGCUGAGAAUCGUUUUUAUAGUCAAGGUAUGAUGACGAUUUGGAAAAUGUUUAUUUGUCACAAAAUUAUUCCCCGACCAUAGGAGAGUAGUACAAUGGAUAAAAAAUAGGUCGGUCAAGUGUUUGUUAAUCACAAUAACACAUAUAUAUGACAAGUGUUCGUAGAAAUAUAAAGAUGGUGUAUAGUACUCCACCAUUUAUAUUAUCCUGGCAAUCUACUAGUAGCGAGUUUCACAAUUUGAGUUAACCUUUUUUGUUUUGAAAAAACGAGAUCUCCAUUCACAUUCAAAUUAAAGUCUCACAUAAAUAAUGAAAUCAAAUUAAGCGAUAGAAUACUUUUAUGGACGUCAUUCCACAUUUUGACCGGUAAAAUCCGAGGAAAGAAUUGAAUUUUUAAGUCCUCAUCACAUAACUCGAGAAGAGAAGGAAACAAUACUUUGCAAAUAGGCCAUGUAUAUAUCUCUACGGUCAUCAAUUUAAUUUUUGGAGCCUAAAAAGCAUUAACUAGUUCGAAACCAUCCUCGAAAAUGGCGGAACUCAAGGAUGAAACUUGGGUCUCAAAUAGAAAGAACAAAGUAAAGUACUAAUCCGCCUAUCACAAACCUGGCCAAUGAAGAUUGUGAUGAGGUGGUUUUCGAUCGUGAACCAUUUAGGACUUUGACCCAUGAAUAUGUAUUAUCUAUGAGUGAAUAGUUUGCAUAAUAUAAUGGGAUUGAUGUCGAUUGACAGGAGUGGCCU
rnacentral:lncRNA from 1 species